UCACUGCUGUUUAUGUUGUCGGACGUCGAGAGCAACUCGUACUUGACAGCGGAGCAACCACUUGCUGAACAAUUUGAGAUGCUCGAUCUGCUAGAUUUGGGCAACAGACCCAGACGGCUGGCACAACCGGAGUUGCAUAACUCAGCCUCAAAGUUCCUGCUGGAGGUUUACAAUGAGAUCAACGAGGAGCAGGAGCCACAGGAGGUGCUGCAUCAGCGUCACAAGCGUUCCAUGGAAGAUGAUAUACUGUUAACUAGGGCGGAUCGUCAAGAAAUAGCCAGUAGCAAUAGCAUAUUGACCUUUUCCAGCCGCAACCGGGACCUUGGCAAUGAAUUAGAUAUGCAUAUAACAUUUAAUACGAAUGAUGUUCCCAUGGACUUAAUGCUAGUGCAGGCCAUGUUGCGAAUUUAUAAGCAGCCCAGUUUGCAGGAGCAGCGCCAGAAUCUGACAAUUUCCGUAUACAAAAAGAUUUACAGUCACAAUCAGGAUGGGGGAGCAUAUCGCAUUUUGCAGUCGCUGAAUACUACAGUCAAUUACAAGGGCUGGCUGGAGUUCAAUCUGACGCAGACGCUGCACACCUGGCUGCUCCAUCGAGGUCUGCAGAAACAGCGACACGAGCUGCGCAUCUCUUUAGGCGACACAAAGCUGGGCGCCUUAGCCGCUGGCUUGGUACCGCCGCAGGAAUUGCACACCAAUUUGGAGCCCUAUAUUGUGGGUUAUUUCAAUGGGCCCGAACUGCUAGUCAAAGUGCAAAAAUUACGCUUCAAGCGGGAGCUGCACAAGCGUAAGGCGACGCUGGCGGCUAGUGGUUAUCAUCACAUGCCACCGCCAGAUUAUUAUAAGCCGCCGCAGUCCUGCGAGCGGCUCAAUUUCACCGUGGACUUUAAGGAGCUGCAAAUGCAUAAUUGGGUCAUUGCACCCAAGAAGUUCGAGGCAUACUUCUGCGGCGGUGGUUGCAAUUUUCCUCUGGGUACCAAAAUGAAUGCCACAAAUCAUGCAAUUGUUCAAACGCUGAUGCAUCUCAAGCAGCCGCAUCUGCCAAAGCCUUGCUGUGUGCCCACUGUGCUAGGCGCCAUAACCAUACUUCGAUACCUUAACGAGGACAUCAUCGAUUUAACCAAAUACCAAAAGGCCGUGGCAAAGGAAUGCGGAUGUCAUUAGAAAAGCGUAGAGGAAUGCGGCGGAAAACCAGUCGACCCUCCAAAGGUUUUAGUAAAAUAUAAAUAUAUCAGACGACCUGAAACAGUCUAAUCUGGUUUAUAGGGCAUUGGUUUAAAGAUGAAUGUCCGCCCCUUUUUGACUUAGAGUACCUUUAAAGAAUUAGAGAGGAUGAAGGCUAAGGACCAUAUCGGUUAUACAAGAGCGAAAAAGGCUCAGUUUUCAUCCUCCCGUUCCAGUUCUGAUAUUUGUAAGCAAAUUUAUAUUUAAGCAAAAAAGCUUUAAUGAUUUAUAACCUUUUAUGAACUCUGAGCGGACGCAUAUGAUGCCCUUUCAUUCGUUUUGUAGCUUGGCUUUAAUGGCCAAAUCCGCAUGAUACUCAUUGGCC
rnacentral:misc_RNA from 1 species